rnacentral:rRNA from 1 species
CGGUACAACGAGUCGCAAGCUCGCGAGAGUAAGCUAAUCUCUUAAAGCCGUUCUCAGUUCGGACUGUAGGCUGCAACUCGCCUACACGAAGUCGGAAUCGCUAGUAAUCGCGGAUCAGCAUGCCGCGGUGAAUACGUUCCCGGGCCUUGUACACACCGCCCGUCACACCAUGGGAGUUUGUAACGCCCAAAGUCGGUGGCCUAACCUUUAUGGAGGGAGCCGCCUAAGGCGGGACAGAUGACUGGGGUGAAGUCGUAACAAGGUACC